UGGGUAAUCUUGUGAAACUUCAUCGUGAUGGGGAUAGAGCAUUGCAAUUAUUGCUCUUCAACGAGGAAUCCCUAGUAAGCAUGAGUCAUCAGCUCGUGCUGAUUACGUCCCUGCCCUUUGUACACACCGCCCGUCGCUACUACCGAUUGAAUGGCUUAGUGAGACCCUCGGAUCGAUAAGUGGAAACCUUCACAGGUAUCCUUUUGUUGAGAAGUUGGUCAAACUUGGUCAUUUAGAGGAAGUAAAAGUCGUAACAAGGUAGCCGUAGGUGAACCUGCGGAAGGAUCAUU
rnacentral:rRNA from 1 species